rnacentral:rRNA from 1 species
CGGGAAGCGAGCGUACACAGGUGCUGCAUGGUUGUCGUCAGCUCGUGCCGUGAGGUGUCGGGUUAAGUCCCAUAACGAGCGCAACCCCUAUCAUUAGUUGCCAUCAGGUCAAGCUGGGGACUCUAAUGAAACUGCCUACGCAAGUAGUGAGGAAGGUGGGGAUGACGUCAAAUCAGCACGGCCCUUACGUCCAGGGCUACACACGUGCUACAAUGGCCGGUACAAAGGGCAGCUACCUGGUGACAGGAUGCAAAUCUCCAAAGUCGGUCUCAGUUCGGAUCGGAGUCUGCAACCCGACUCCGUGAAGUUGGAUUCGCUAGUAAUCGCGCAUCAGCCAUGGCGCGGUGAAUACGUUCCCGGGCCUU